GUUGAGAACUGUUCUGCGCAUGUGUCCUGGGAUUACUAGAUUGCGCCUACUUUGUCAUCCAGUUUUAGCCAUACCCUACCUUCCUACCUCAGUAGGAUAUGAUUUGGUGAUUCUAUAUGCUAACCUGUAGAGGAGAGUCUGUAUUAGGAAAGACGUGGAGAAGAACCAUGCGUUCUCCCUCUGCUAUGCAUUAGAACUCUAGGAAGAAAGUGACAAAUUCAAAGAUGGAGAUAGAAUGAAGCUAAAGAACAAUCACUUGCCUGAGGCCAUUUGAGGAAAAAAACCAAGAAGAUUUCAUGAAAAAUACAUCAUCAUAACAUUGAUGUAUGGACCCUGUAACAUCCAAUUUCUUAAAGGCAUCUGUAGCUACUAAGGAUGCUGGUCAUGCCCUCAUCAACACACGGACAAUAUAAAUGAGAUGAUGCUUCAUGGAACAUAAUGCACACAGAUGCUUUUCUAAAAUAUACUCACAUCUUCGAAAAUAAAAUGAUUUGGC
rnacentral:lncRNA from 1 species